rnacentral:rRNA from 1 species
UACAGAGGGGGCAAGCGUUAUUCGGAAUUAUUGGGCGUAAAGGGCGCGUAGGCGGCUUUGCAAGUGACGGGUGAAAGCCCUCGGCUUAACCGAGGAACUGCCUGUCAGACUGUGAGGCUUGAGACCGGGAGAGGUGAGUGGAAUUCCCAGUGUAGCGGUGAAAUGCGUAGAUAUUGGGAAGAACACCAGUGGCGAAGGCGGCUCACUGGCCCGUAACUGACGCUGAGGUGCGAAAGCGUGGGGAGCAAACAGG